CGUUUGACCUCGGAUCAGGUAGGGAUACCCGCUGAACUUAAGCAUAUCAAUAAGCGGAGGAAAAGAAACCAACAGGGAUUGCCCUAGUAACGGCGAGUGAAGCGGCAACAGCUCAAAUUUGAAAUCUGGCUCUUUUAGGGUCCGAGUUGUAAUUUGCAGAGGGCGCUUUGGCUUUGGCAGCGGUCCAAGUUCCUUGGAACAGGACGUCACAGAGGGUGAGAAUCCCGUACGUGGUCGCUAGCUAUUGCCGUGUAAAGCCCCUUCGACGAGUCGAGUUGUUUGGGAAUGCAGCUCUAAAUGGGAGGUAAAUUUCUUCUAAAGCUAAAUAUUGGCCAGAGACCGAUAGCGCACAAGUAGAGUGAUCGAAAGAUGAAAAGCACUUUGGAAAGAGAGUCAAACAGCACGUGAAAUUGUUGAAAGGGAAGCGCUUGCAGCCAGACUUGCUUGCAGUUGCUCAUCCGGGCUUUUGCCCGGUGCACUCUUCUGUAGGCAGGCCAGCAUCAGUUUGGGCGGUGGGAUAAAGGUCUCUGACACGUUCCUUCCUUCGGGUUGGCCAUAUAGGGGAGACGUCAUACCACCAGCCUGGACUGAGGUCCGCGCAUCUGCUAGGAUGCUGGCGUAAUGGCUGUAAGCGGCCCGUCUUGAAACACGGACCAAGGAGUCUAACAUCUAUGCGAGUGUUUGGGUGUCAAGCCCGAGCGCGUAAUGAAAGUGAACGGAGGUGGGAACCCGCAAGGGCGCACCAUCGACCGAUCCUGAAGUUUACGGAAGGAUUUGAGUAAGAGCAUGGCUGUUGGGACCCGAAAGAUGGUGAACUAUGCUUGAAUAGGGUGAAGCCAGAGGAAACUCUGGUGGAGGCUCGCAGCGGUUCUGACGUGCAAAUCGAUCGUCAAAUUUGGGCAUAGGGGCGAAAGACUAAUCGAACUAUCUAGUAGCUGGUUCCUGCCGAAGUUU
rnacentral:rRNA from 1 species